rnacentral:rRNA from 1 species
UGUCUACAGCCAUACCACCCUGAACGCGCCCGAUCUCGUCUGAUCUCGGAAGCUAAGCAGGGUCGGGCCUGGUUAGUACUUGGAUGGGAGAAAUAUAAAGUAUGAGUGCACCUGUAACAA